rnacentral:rRNA from 1 species
AGGAGAGUGGAAUUCCACGUGUAGCGGUGAAAUGCGUAGAGAUGUGGAGGAACACCACGUGGCGAAGGCGACUCUCUGGUCUGUAACUGACGCUGAGGCGCGAAAGCGUGGGGAGCGAACAGGAUUAGAUACCCUGGUAGUCCACGCCGUAAACGAUGAGUGCUAAGUGUUAGAGGGUUUCCGCCCUUUAGUGCUGCAGCAAACGCAUUAAGCACUCCGCCUGGGGAGUACGGUCGCAAGACUGAAACUCAAAGGAAUUGACGGGGGCCCGCACAAGCGGUGGAGCAUGUGGUUUAAUUCGAAGCAACGCGAAGAACCUUACCAGGUCUUGACAUCCUCUGACAACCCUAGAGAUAGGGCUUCCCCUUCGGGGGCAGAGUGACAGGUGGUGCAUGGUUGUCGUCAGCUCGUGUCGUGAGAUGUUGGGUUAAGUCCCGCAACGAGCGCAACCCUUGAUCUUAGUUUGCCCAGCAUUCAGUUGGGCACUCUAAGGUGACUGCCGGUGACAAACCGGAGGAAGGUGGGGAUGACGUCAAAUCAUCAUGCCCCUUAUGACCUGGGCUACACACGGUGCUACAAUGGGGCAGAACAAAGGGCAGCGAAGCCGCGAGGCUAAGCCCAAUCCCCACAAAUCUGUUCUCAGUUCGGAUCGCAAUUCUUGCAACUCGACUGCGUGGAAGCUGGGAAUCGCUAGUAAUCGCGGAUCAGCUUGCCGCGGUGAAUACGUUCCCGGGCCUUGUACACACCGCCCGUCACACCACGGGAGUUUGUACCCCAAAGUCAGUGAGGUUGCCUUCUUGAAGCCAGCCG